rnacentral:rRNA from 1 species
AUUGAACGCUGGCGGCAGGCCUAACACAUGCAAGUCGAACGGUAACAGGAAGCAGCUUGCUACUUCGCUGACGAGUGGCGGACGGGUGAGUAAUGUCUGGGAAACUGCCUGAUGGAGGGGGAUAACUACUGGAAACGGUAGCUAAUACCGCUUAACGUCGCAAGACCAAAGAGGGGGACCUUCGGGCCUCUUGCCAUCGGAUGUGCCCAGAUGGGAUUAGCUAGUAGGUGGGGUAACGGCUCACCUAGGCGACGAUCCCUAGCUGGUCUGAGAGGAUGACCAGACAACCUGGAACUGAGACACGGUCCAGACUCCUACGGGAGGCAGCAGUGGGGAAUAUUGCACAAUGGGCGCAAGCCUGAUGCAGCCAUGCCGCGUGUAUGAAGAAGGCCUUCGGGUUGUAAAGUACUUUCAGCGGGGAGGAAGGCGAUAAGGUUAAUAACCUUGUCGAUUGACGUUACCCGCAGAAGAAGCACCGGCUAACUCCGUGCCAGCCGCCGCUGUAA